rnacentral:rRNA from 1 species
CCUACGGGGGGCAGCAGUGGGGGAUAUUGCACAAUGGGGGAAACCCUGAUGCAGCGACGCCGCGUGUGGGAAAACGGUCCUCUGGAUUGUAAACCACUGUCCCUAGGGACGAAAAUGACGGUACCUGGGGAGGAAGCUCCGGCUAACUACGUGCCAGCAGCCGCGGUAAUACGUAGGGAGCGAGCGUUGUCCGGAAUUACUGGGUGUAAAGGGAGCGCAGGCGGGAAGCCAAGUCAGCUGUGAAAACUACGGGCUUAACUUGUAGACUGCAGUUGAAACUGGUUUUCUUGAGUGAAGUAGUGGGU